rnacentral:tRNA from 1 species
ACCUGGCUGGCUCAGUCAGUAGAGCUUGCAACUGUUAAUCUCAAGGCUGUGAGUUCAAGCCUCACAUUGGGCA